CUUUGGCUCGCAGUUUCAUGGUUUCAGUCCCUGGUCAGUUGGGCCCAGAGCCCUGUGCACCGGGGAGACAGAAACAUCACGGUGGGGGAGCACAGGGAAGCAGAGCUUCUCACCUCACUACAUCUGGGAAUCAGGGAGAAGGAAAGAGCCAGAAAGGAAAGGGACCGGGACCAGGUACAGUCCCCAAGAGGUCACACUGCCAUGACCUGCUCCCUUCAACGAGGGCCCACGCCAUUCUGAGCUGGGUAGGAGAAGCGUGAUCACACUGGGCAGUGACAGGAGAAAGUAUGGACACCUGGGAUCCAGAUUUUGGGAGUCUGGGUUCUUUCUUCAUCAGCAACCUGGUGGGUGACCAUCAGUCCUCGAAGCAGCCAUUUGUGUCUGUUGAUCUUCACACAUGGAUGACCGGCUGGGUCCUGUCAGACAGAGAAAAUACGGGAUGAAAUGCGAUGCCCAUGGCACAGGCCUCCCCCACCCCACUUUGUUGCAUUACAACUGGGUGGGGCAGGGGGCACCCAGGGGGAACUUUGAGGUGGCUUCAAAUGACAACUUAUUUAAAUAACAAGAGCAUUGCUUCCUGCUGCUCAUCCCUCCUACCAAAGGUGUCUUCUCUUAGCCCAGGUGCUGAGACUGGGGAGCCCCAAACCCAGCACCCUGGCAGGAAGGCCUGGGCUUUAGGGGAGCUCCGCAGCAUCUCAGCUGAAGGCCAGACUCACAGUUCACUGGUUCUGUCCCUUUGUACCUCUGCUGAUGAAACUUUGCACCUUGCCUGAUCUUUACUGUUCUACUGAUGAUUAGUACGAAUAUGACCUUCCACUGUUACAGAAGUUUCAACAUUUUCCUCCAAACACUUGCUUGAUUAGUUUACUCCGUUGUCUUUGCAGACUGUCCCUUUCCAGCUAUCAGAGAUUUUACCUGGGUGGCUGUCCUGGAGACUGGGACUAAGAAGAAUCCAGUUUUCCUUCUGGGGCUGGGUGCUGACCCCACCCCCAAGGGGCAUCCAGGGUCCGAGGCUGCAGUGGCUGGGGGUGGAUGAGCUAUGGGUGGGGAGACUGAGGCCAGAAGAGUGGCUGAGCUGGGGUGAGCCUGCAGGGCUCGUCCUUCUCCAGGGCUCCCCACUGCACCCCACUAUUCCCAGGCCAGGCCCCUCCUCAGUGAUAGCGAUUCUGAGCUCUGCAAAGGGCCUCCCCUCCGGGCUGGGUCUCAGCCUGGAGUGAGGGACAGGACACCUAGGCCAGCCCUGAUCCCAACUGUCCCUUGCUCUUCUGGUCUUGCUUUUUUGUCCCCCAGCCUUCCUCUCCCUGCUACUGCAGCCCCUGACUCCUUCCUGAGGCCUCACUCCUUCCUCACACGCUGUGGUUUGGGCAGGCCAUUCCUAGCCAUUUGGGACUGAACUGGACUUUGGUAUGGCUUGGACCCCGAGAUUUGGAAGCAUGUCUUGGGUGUUUCUUUUUCCUUUUUUCUUUUUUUUUGGGAGAUGGGGUGAGGGGUAUAAGACAGGGUCUUGCAAUAUAGUUCAGAAUGGCCUUGAACUCACUAUGCAGCCCAGGCUGGCCUCAAAUUCACAGCGAUCCUCCUGCCUCAGCCUUCCUGAAUUCUGUGAUUACAGGUGUGCAUCACCACGCCCGGCUUCUCUUGGUGUUUCUAAAACACAGCCAGGUUUGAAAAACCAGGGCUUCUUCCCCUGCCCUGACAUCACUGUAGAGAGGAGAUCUCUUUGAGGGAUGGACAUUCGGCCUGAGGCUCCUCUGUCCCUCAGGCUUCAGAACCACUGAAGCACUUCUGGGGUGUCAGAAACAGCACGUGUGCCGAGGGAGAGGCCAGGACAAGCAGCAAAGGUGACAGACACACUGUGCGCCCUCACGUUCCGGACCCCAGCCUGACACGAGGACUUAGGGGACCCCAGAGGAGCCAGCAUAGCUAGUGAGACUCAGACAGACCUCAGAAGCCCUGCAGCAAGUUCUUCAGAGGUGCCACACACUUUGGGAUUUCUAGGGUUGCUGCUCCGAGGAGCAGAAUAAAGGUUCAGUAGUGCAAGCUUGGGAAACAGAGUUCACUAAUUGGUCCACUCAGUAAACACUGAAAAUAUAAUGUGUGUCCGUGUUCUAGGGACACAAACAUAGCAGUGAACAGAAUGGAUCAAAGCACGAAGAAAAAAACAAAAACCAACCCAAACCCAACAAAAUAAAGCAAACAAAACCUCAUUUGGAGCUUAGAGGCUGGAAAGGAGGUCGAAGCAUUUUCUCUUGUGCAGGACUUCUCAGUGCCUAUAAUAUAUUAAUGGGCAUCACCAGAAGGGGAUAAAACAUGCUGUGUUUCCCAGAACUACUGGACCUGAGAAAUUUUGCCAUGCAAGACACUUGGAGAACUCAGUGUUCUUUAACAAAUGGAUGCUAAAGCUCUAACCCACCCAGCUUCCUGGCAUACAGAUGGUGAGGGGAGAGUGUGAUCGUAUGUAAGGUCACCAGGACUGCUCACACCAAAGUCAGGUUUCCCCAUCUUCAUGUCCAUCUCCCGCCCCACUCUGUGAUGCCUGAGAUCUGGGGGUGCUGUGAACCCAGAUGCUUUGAGAUAAAGAGCCGCAGGCUCCCAUAGUCCCAGUGGGCACCCAGACUGUGUCCUGCUGAGAUGUCCACCUCUGACCGCCGGUUCAUGUCCCACGACCUCUCCCUGAGCUCAGCCUGCUGCUAUGAGGUGCUGUACCUGCCUCUUGGGAAAGGAGGCAAACGGGGACACGGGGUGGAACGUUGAGACUGCUGGGGACAGUCACUUUGUGAAAGCGUGGCCACAGCCUGAGGAAGCUGUCUGCUUUCUUUGGUUACCCUCAGGUGCUCUGAUGUCUUCUGGACCAAAUUUGGUGUCCAGAAUGGGCGAAGAGCUUGCAGUGUUCAGAGGUGAAUUUUCAAAACACGGAAGGCAGAUGGUGGCACACAGGUAUAAGGUCAGCUGUGUGGCAUCACCAGUCGGUGCGUCUCUAGGUGCUGCCAAACCCUGCAACAGGCGGGAGACAUCACAUCCUGCUGAGGAGCAGUCCAGGCUCUGGGAGGUGAAAGUGCUUUUUCACGUCAGAUCCGGCCCGCACUGGUCUGAGUUGAGAGCUGAGUUCUUCCCACUCACAGUGGUAACACUGUGUGGCCAGCACAGUGUUACCAAACCUCGAGCAGCCAGUGUUCCCGAGAGGCGGCUAUGGGCAGUCCCUGAGGAGCACAGGAGGCUGAGCAGCCUGAGCCGGGGCUUCUCACUACUUAGUGGCCCUGGCUUCCUUCCCUUUCUGGGAUUUUCCACUUUCCCCCAUUUGUGCUUUCUUCCUAAAAACACCAAAACCUUAUAAUAAAAUAAAACGAUCAGUGUCAUCACGAACCCAGUUACUGCUACCUGCUGGUUUCUUUUCUCACUAUUUCCAAUUUCUUAAUAUUGUAUCUUUGACUUCAUGACUUUUCAACAACCCUCCAAAGGAUCUUAACGUUUUUCCUAAACUAAAAUAAAAAU